GUCGACGAUGUGGUGCAAUACAAUGAUGAAGCUUACUGUGCUGCUGCUGCUGCUUAGCGUUGUUGUGGUCCACGGUGGAGGUCCUAACACCGUCCGUGGCCUUGGAUACAGGAGGACGAGGAGGUUUGGAAAGAAUAGCAUUUUGAGCAAUUCCAACCCAAAUAACCAAGACGUUCGGCAUGGAAUAGCCUCGGGAACAUUGAGAGGCGCGUCUGUCGGACGUACCUUCAAGAGGAAAUAGAGAACUGUGACUGCAGAACGGCAAAUGAGAGACCGACCUCACCCAUGAGUGUUGCUGUUUUAAAUAAGAAUAUAAAAUGACAAACUGCAA